UGCUCUGGUGGCCUAGUGGUUAAAGUGUCCACCUCAGAUGGGGGAUGUCACAGGUUCGAACCUUGAUAGAGUCA